rnacentral:misc_RNA from 1 species
GAAAAAUUAAACAAUUAAAUAAAAGCAAAAUAUAUUCCCUAAAUAAUACAAUUUUCAAAAUAUAAACACUAAAUAAUUAAUUUAAAUAAAAUAUAUGAACUAAAUUUUUUUUUUUCCCCUCCUUUGAGUUGCCUUUAAAAAAUAUGGCAUACAUAGCCACCAAAUAACGAAUCGAGUAGGAAGGAGAACAUAUUCAUUUGAAGGCGAGCUCAAAUUCAUGAAGCCUUGAUAAAUUUUUCCAAAUAGGCAAACAAACCAGAAUCACUCAUGCAUCAACAUAACGGUAGUAGAGGCGCCACAUGGUCACUGGCAUCCACCUAAUUUAUACUUCAUUCCUAAUCCUGGUAAGGGAAACUGGAAUAUGAUAGUUUCAACAUAUGAAGAAAGCAAAACCUGUAGUUAUAGGAAACCAGUGCAUUUAGAAUGAAAAUUUACGUCGGUUUGGUGAAACAAAAGGAUCAUAAUAAAUAGAUGUACAAGUUCCGCAGUCAGCUCAAACAGACCAUUUUCUCAAAACAUAAACUGUUGGGACAUUUUUGCUAAAAAGCUUUAUGCACUUAUAACCUCAAUUCUGAGCUUCCUUGAGCAUUUUAUUUCUGGGAUUGAUCAAAACUUCAAUGCACCAAUUUGGCUCAUGAGGUUGUAAGUUGUAGUUAAGCAAUUGCACCCUUCAAACCUCGUGAAUACCCCACCUAUGAAAAUGAAGUUAAAAGUUACAAAUCGACAUAAAUUUUCAUUAAUAAUAAACGCACAUGCUCAAAAUCAUAUCAACUGUAAAAUGCACAAUCCCACAAAUAAAUCUGCAUCAAAUUUUAUAUCAAGCAAACAUAAAGAGAACAAUGGAAUAUUAAGUCUGGAAUACACAUUAGUUAAUGCCUCUUUUAAGUCGGCUUUUUAGAACAUCUGAAUUUCUAAAUUACUAAAAUAAAACAUUGAAAAAAGCAAAAUGUAACAUGCAAACCUAGCUUCAUAUUUUCCCCCUUCGGCUCCAAUAAGGCAACGACUGAGCUGGGAAUAGCCUCCUCUCUCAAAUCCCCAUCUAGCCAUUCCCAGUAUAACCACAACCCAAAUCCUAAUAGUUAAGUCUCAAAGCCAAAAUCUUCACCAGCGAUGCUAGUUAGGACUCGUACAAAUCAGGACUUAGCUGCCCCACCUUAUGCACUUCAGCCAAUGGAAAACAGGCCAAGAUGAAAAUAUAGACUGCCACCUAUUUCAGAUGCAUGUGAAUAUGUAAUAAGGGACCAGACCAGCAAAAGAAGUAUGCCCUUAGAGUACCAAUAUAAACAGUUUGGGAAAAGGAAACUUGAGUUUAAGCAUCUCUAUAAGCUAUCAGUAACACAUUAGAUCAGACAAUGAUUUAACUGGCUAGUCUUCUACUCAUGCAUCAACCCAUUAGAUAAUUCAAAAUGGAUGAAAUAUUGAGAGUCAAUCUAUUAAGACUUAAGAGUAUAACUUGUUGCCUACCCAAUGCAUAACUCUUAUCCAAUAAUGAGGAAUGUCAAGCCUAAAAGAAUUUAAACCUUUAGUUACUCAUUAUGCAUAAAUGAGCAUAUGCUUAGGAUAGGAGGAGACCAAUGGGUGCUUUUGCAGUAUCCAUUGCCAACUAAGGUGCUCUGCAGAAGAAAGAACAAUCGGAAUAUGAUCAUUUUAAUUGCUUUCCUAGAAUAGCAAAAUCUGUUAGUCAUUACAAAUUUUUGUGGAUAUACAUGGUGACCAUCAGAUGCAAAUUGAGAAACGAAUUAAACAAUUAGAUAGCAUGUUUAGGUCUUCAUUAAACCCAAAAAUAAAUAAAUAAAAUAACCAGGAAAAGUAUAAAAUUAGAAAAAAAAAAGAUUGAGAUUAAUAAAUAAUUCAAAGGGAUGCAUUCAGGUUUAUUUGAAAAUUCUUUACCCAACUUGUGCAAUGUCAACCUAACUGCUCAAAGAAAUCUCACCAUUAGGUACACUUCUCAUUUCUUGGUUUUAUCAAGAACCUCAAUAUAUCUCUUUGGAACCCCAUACUGUUCAACCAGAUGCCGUGCUACAUCAUCAAUCACACCACCUUGAAUGAGAACCUCAUGCCCUUUCUUGCCUGGUAGCUCUUGCACUGACGUACUGCAAGCAAAUUUUUUCUGCAGCUCUGACGCCAAUGCUUCAGCAUCCAUCAAGAAUGUUUCUACACCUGAGACUUUUGUCACCUUCUUGUUACCUUGACGCCUUUCUGUUACAAUUUGAAUUGUCUUUAAUGAACCUUUACGAACAACAGACUCACUUCCCCUGGUCACAACGUAAUGGGCUUGCAUCCGGCUUACAAAUGUCAAUCCUAGAUCUUUCUUAUGAAUCUCGGUAGGGUAUGUUGAUCCUUUCUUAAUUGUUCCCUUGAACAAAGCAUCACAUAGUGUUGGAUCUAAAACUACGAAGGCCUUAUUUGUUGGCUUGACUAGAUUUUCUUUCUCAAUAUACUUGCAUACUAUAUCAGAAGCUUCUGAAGCACUGUAAAGUUUCCCUGUAUCAGCACCAACAGAAGCAAAAAUGGGAUUGACAUGCACACUUGGUUUGUAGAUCUCCACCACUUCAAGCAUUUUUUUUAGCCGACUUUCACUGGUAGUAGCUUGGUCAGCAGCCUGAUCAAUUUUUUGUUCCUGCCUCUUCUCUGGCUUGAAGGAUAAGAAAUCUGGGUGACUGCGGUUAACGGAAACUAAUACAGUCUCCUUUUUAUAUUUGUCUUCCUUUACUGAAAUCAAUGCUGCAGAUGAUUUAGAUUGUAACCACUUUGACAAUUUCUUGUGGGAUGACUUCUUGAUAUCUAGCAUGAUGCCAGAUGGCCUACAAGGUAAAACAUGAUUGGACCAUAAAGUGCUACCAGGCAUUGGAAGAUCUUUGUCCUUAACAGUUGUAUGCAGGGCUUGCAACAGGCAUUUAUCCAAAUAAGCAUCCACGUCUGCAGUUGACAAUGUGUACUGCUCCUCAGUAGCUGAUUCAUCAGCUGCAACAUUAUCUGUUACAUUCAAAUUACUUGCAUCUGCAGUGACUUGUUCUACAAUAUCAUUUUUACAAUCAAGUUCCGCAAUUAGAGAGGGAUAAGGUUCUGAUAUAACAUCAUUCAUAUCAGCAGAUUCCCCAAUUUCUUUGCUCUCAACCUCAUUCUGCUGCUCAUAUGAAGCAUCACUAGUAGCUUGACACUCAUCAGAACUAUGAACUGAUGAUGUGGAAGCAGGAUCCUCAAAGACAGCAUCUUCCAAGAAACCUGCAUUUGGCACAUAAUGGCCCUCAACUGACUCCCAAAGUAAGUCCCGGUAAUAAUGAGUUAUCCUUAAGGCCUUUCCACGAAAUCCAGCUUUUACGGCGUCAGUGCUGCUCAUAGUAGUAGAUCCAACUGCAAUUGGUGCUGGAUUGCCAGGUACUUUUACUGCCCAUGGUUCCCCAGAUGAAAAAGAAGGUAGGCCUUCAGCAGGUAUAUUUAUACCAGGGAACAUCAAAUCUGCCCCUCCAAUGACAAACCUAGAGACCUCACCGCCUUUAAGCAUAAAAGAAGGCAACAAUUCAGGGACCUUCCAGAGAGCAAAUACUGUGGGAAAAAUUUCAUUGCCUCGCCCAUCUACAUCGAAAAACAUAGGAAAGCCACCUUCAACACCAAAUACAUGGACACGAUUUUGAAACUUUGAAACAGUUAUCUCAGCCUAAAACACAAAUAUCGUAUAAAAAAGCAUCAGUUUAUAAAAUAACAGACACGAAAAUAACUUAUAGUAAAAAUUAACAACUGAAAUUUUCUAUUAUCAAACUAGGAGCUAGACCCCUUUUCUGUACAACCUUGACCAACUUGCCGGACAAACAAAAACCUUCAAGCACUCUCACUUAGAAGGUAAAUACAUUAAACAAAAAUUAAAAGGAAAGCCUGCUUCACAUAAGAACACAGAGAAUGCAUAAAUUUAUAACCUUUUCAGGAACAUCGAAUAUUCAAAUCAAAUUAAGCAAUAAAAAUUCUUCAAAACUGACAAAACCACGUAUAACAAGUAACAAUAAUAACAACAAUAAAUGGGUUUCAAAUAUGAAUGAAAAUAAAAAACCAAACAAUAAAAUUAAGAAUAAAUGAAUCCAUUACCAUUGCUCCACAUCCAAAAUAACAAAAAAAAAAUAUUUACUUUGGGAGGGAGUAAAUUAUCCAUAUCGGCGUCAGAAGCGCGAGGAAAUCUAUCUUUAACGGUUCGUUUAAGCUUCUUUCUGUCAGCUCCGGAUAGUCUCUGAUGCGAUUUUGCCUCUACUGCCUUCUUAAACAUCUUUUCCCUUCCUUUUUCUUACGAAACAAAUCAAAAUUCUUCUGUGUUUCCUCGAAUCAAAUAAGAAAGAAGAAGAUGUGCUUUAUGAGAGUGAAAUGAGUGAGCUAAGGAAGUACUCGUUUGGCUUCUCGCAAAGGAAGGUUCACG